AGUGAACGCUGGCGGUAGGCCUAACACAUGCAAGUCGAACGGCAGCACAGUAAGAGCUUGCUCUUACGGGUGGCGAGUGGCGGACGGGGGAGGAAUACAUCGGAAUCUACUUUUUCGUGGGGGAGAACGUAGGGAAACUUACGCUAAUACCGCAUACGACCUACGGGUGAAAGCAGGGGAUCUUCGGACCUUGCGCGAGUGAAGGAGGCGAUGUCGGAUUAGCUAGUUGGCGGGGUAAAGGCCCACCAAGGCGACGAUCCGUAGCUGGUCUGAGAGGAUGAUCAGCCACACUGGAACUGAGACACGGUCCAGACUCCUACGGGAGGCAGCAGUGGGGAAUAUUGGACAAUGGGCGCAAGCCUGAUCCAGCCAUACCGCGUGGGUGAAGAAGGCCUUCGGGUUGUAAAGCCCUUUUGUUUGGAAAGAAAAGCAGCAGGUUAAUACCCCGCUGUUCUGACGGUACCCAAAGAAUAAGCACCGGCUAACUUCGUG
rnacentral:rRNA from 1 species